GCCACAAAUCUUUAACUGAACCCUGAGCCAAAAACAGUCAUCAAUGAUGAAAUGGACGCAGGUCUCUUGCCAAAAAUUAGAGUCUGGAGGCAGAACAAAGCAUAAUAGAAAUGUUUGAAUAUUGCACAGCAAGACAUGUUGACAGCACAGAGUAAGAACCUAUUAGCAUGUGUAAUUUGUAUUCAUAUUUUAAUACUAUAUAUAAUAAGAUUAUUUAUCUUAUGGGCUUGUUGCCUUUAUUAGGCAGGGGAACAUUGAGGCGAUAGGAAAUAACUUCAAAGGUAAACAGCGCAAAGCCGACUGUCUCAAAUCCUUCCAGCAGCACUAGAGAAUGAAAGCGUACAGCGAUAUCAGUCAGGCUGGAUUCAUAUGCCACUUAAACUGCUCAUUCCCCUAAAGCUUGGCAGGUAACUCAUGCAUGACAUUCCCUGCCUCUCUCCUUCACUCACACACUCACUCUUUUCUUUCCACCCUCUCUCCGCUGGCCAAUUAUGUGUGGGCUUGGAAUUGAGUCCCUCUUUCAUUCUCUUUCUUUCACUCGCUUUCUUUCACUCGCUCCAUUUUUCAAGCUUUUCUGGUGGGAUGUUAGAUGGAUUUUUGCCACCUCAGUCCUUUUCUUCCUCGGCUGUACAUUUCAUUUCUAUUUUUCACCUUUUCUUUUAUCUUUUUCUCUCGAGGCUAGCUUUUCCAUUUGGUUUGGCGUUUUUUUCUACCUGAUCUAACCCUUACAAAUUGCUUUCACUAUAGAUUUGAUUAAGUUCCGAUAUUGUUUUGAAUUGACAAAGGUGGUUGUUAACAAGGGGCAAAUGGGACAGAGUUUGUCAAGGACAUUUAAGAUCUUCAGCCGAACAGCACAAAGCACACCCACAGACUGUACAUGUCCACACUGGCUCUAUCUCUGCACGGGACAGCUGCUCUCUACAGGGGCUAUCUCACCACUCAGCACACACAGAGACAUCACAACACAGAUACAGGUCGCACUGUAAAUGCCACUGAGAUGAAAAAGCAGACAGCAUCACGUCAUAAAUCUCACCUCACCAGAUGCAUGCAAUGAAAUAUGGAAAUGCUAGUAUCAUGGCUCAACAUAAAGGGAAUAGCAAAUUAUCAUAUACAUUGGACACGGAAAGUAUUCAGACCCCCUUAAAUUUUUCAAUCUUUGUUAUAAUGCAGCCAUUUGUUAAAAUCAUUUAAUUUCAUUUUUUUCCCUCAUUAAUGUACACACAGCACCCCAUUUUGACAGAAAAACACAGAAUUGUUGACAUUUUUGCAGAUUUAUUAAAAAAGAAAAACUGAAAU